rnacentral:other from 1 species
AUAUUCCUGCCGUAUCUAGUUAAUUCAGAGCGUUUUUAACCAACACUUAUUAUACGGGGUCUAAUCCUUUUUAUUGCUGUCAUGCCACUUAUCUUUAAGAGGACAACAAAUAAAUAAAAAGCAGGACACCCACCUGCUAAAGCAGGUUAAAAACUUAUGGUUAACUUAUAUAGCGGGACUACA